rnacentral:rRNA from 1 species
AGAGUUUGAUCAUGGCUCAGGACGAACGCUGGCGGCGCGCUUAAUACAUGCAAGUCGAACGGAUACCCUUUCGGGGGUGUUAGUGGCGGACGGGUGCGUAACACGUGGGCAACCUACCUUCCAGUGGGGAAUAACGUUUGGAAACAGACGCUAAUACCGCAUACGCUCGGCCCUUUGUGGGGCCGAGGAAAGCCUGGAGUGCUGGAAGAGGGGCCUGCGGCGGAUUAGCUAGUCGGUGGGGUAACGGCCUACCGAGGCGACGAUCCGUAGCUGGUCUGAGAGGAUGGCCAGCCACACUGGGACUGCGACACGGCCCAGACUCCUACGGGAGGCAGCAGUAAGGAAUCUUCCACAAUGGGCGCAAGCCUGAUGGAGCGACGCCGCGUGGAUGACGAAGCCCUUCGGGGUGUAAAAUCCUUUUCUCCGCGAUGAGACGGACAGUAGCGGGGGAAUCAGCCUCGGCUAACUACGUGCCAGCCGCCGCGGUAAUAC